rnacentral:lncRNA from 1 species
AUGCUUGAGGAAGUGUACCAGGGAAAGGAAGAGGUGGAGACUUUUGCUUUUCAGGCAGAAGUUGCCCAAUUCAUGUAUCUCAACAUCAAUACCUUCUAUUCCAACCAGAAAAUUUUUCUUCAGGAGUUGAUCUCUAAUGGAUUUAAUGCAUUAAACAGAAUUUGCUGAGAGCCUGACAGACUCUUCUGAGUUGAACAGCAGUAAAGAGAUGAAAAUUGACAUCAUCUUCAACUCUCAGGAAUGCACCCUGACUUUGGUGGACACAGGCAUUGCCAUGACCAAGGAUGACCUCAUAAAUAAUUUUGGAACCAUUGCCAAGUCUCCAAGAUUGAGCAGUUUGGUUUUUAGCCUGCCUACCUGGUGGCACAGAAAGUGACUGUGAUCACACAUCACAAUGCUGAUGAACAGUAUGCCUGAGAGUCUUCCUCCACUGUAUGUGCUGACCACAGUGAGCCCACCAGCAGGGAUACCAAAGUGAUCCUCCACCUUAAGGAAGACCAGAUAGAGUACUUAGAAGAGAGACAAAUCAAAGAAGUAGUGAAGAAGUACUCAUAGUUCAUAAGCUAUCCCAUCACUCUUUAUUUGGGGGAAGGAAUGAGAGAAGGAAACCGGUGACAAUGAGGCAAAAGAAGAGAUAGGUGAGAAAAAAGAGGAAAAUAAAGAUGCUGAGGAAAGGCUCAAGAUUGAAGAUGUAGGCUCAGAUGAUAGCAGUAAGGGUAAGAAAAAGAAGACCAGAAAAUUAAAGAGAAAUACAUUGAUUAGGAAGAGCUAAACAAGGCCAAGUUCAUCUGGACCAGAAACCCUCAUGAUGUCACCCAGGAGAAAUAUGGAGAAUUUUACAAGAGUCUCACCAAUAACUGGGAAGACCACUUGGCAGUCAAGCAUUUCUCUGUAGAAGGUCAGUUGGAAUUUAGAGCAUUGCUACUCAUCCCUCAACGGGCUCCCUUUGACCUCUUUGAGAACAAGAAGAAAAAGAACAACAUCAAGCUGUCCAUCGUGUGUUCAUCAUGGACAGCUGUGAUGAGUUGACACAAGAGUUUCUCAAUUUUAUUCAUGGUUUGGUUGACUCUCAGUAUCUGCCCCUCAACAUCUCUCGAGAAAUGCUUAAGCAGAGCAAAAUCUUAAAAGUCAUUCAAACAAACAUUGUUAAGAAGUGCCUUGAGCUGUUCUCUGAGCUGGCAGAAGACAAGAAGAACUACAAGAAAUUCCAUGAGGCAGUCUGUAAAAAUCUA